GGGCAGGCGCGGGUCUCGGACUGUCGGGGGUGGCGCGGGAUGCGGCGCCCGGCGGGGAUCCGGAUAGGGGGCAGCCAGGGUACGGUGUGGGAACUCAGGCCGGCGCGGGAGCCUGCCGUCAAGGGGGCUCAGCACUUUGUAAACAAGGAGUGGGAAGCGUUAAAAAAAACGCUCGUAGGGAAAAGCAGGGAAGGGCGGACGUAGCGCCAGGGUGGGAGGAAUGGAGCCCGGGCAAAGACGGCCCUGCCGUGGGCCCUACAGUUCCCUUCCUCGGCCCCUGGAGCUGCGGCCGGGCGUGGGUCAGUCGUUCACGGGCCCAGAAAUUCCACUGGGACACCCGAAAAAGUGCUGCACGUCGCCUGAGACGGAAAGGGACCCGGGGCACUGAGUCAAUUGCCGGCGUCGCCAGGGUACAGGGCAGGACCCGCUGUGCACACUCGGGACUGAGGAGACCCCAGGGACGCGGAGAGCCGCUCCAGGGCAGAACCAGCCCGUCAGCAUUUAGCCUUCCACGGGCCUGAGGGUGCGAGCCCUGCGGGGCCACAGGGUCAUUGUCCAAAGUCAUCUCCGUUUGCACUGUGGCAGCACCGAACCCGGAAGUCACAGCUUUGGAAGGUCUUUGAUGGUGAUCUAGUGGCAGGAGGAGCUCAGCUGGAAUGGGAAUCAGGAAAGAGACCUGGCUUCUGCCAUUUAUUGGCGCUUCACCCUUCUGAACGUCAGCUCUCAAAUGAGAGCUGGCUUCUAGCUCUAGAAUUCAAUGAGUGUGAGAAAAAUAACUGAGAGGCGUUGGGACUUCAGUAACUACUCAUUCCUUAACCAGUUGUUGAUUGUGCCUGUUGUGCCAGGAUGAAAUAUUUAUUACUACUAGAGACCAGAAAGGGGAGGGAGGAAAAACCAAGCAUAUGUAUGAUUCAAGCGCUCAAGAGCUACUCUCCGGAGUUGGCUCUUUUCUGUGCUUCACUUCGUACUUGAAGAUGCCACAAUGCCUGGCUUCCUUAUCAACCAGCUGAACUCCGAAUUGUUCCUUACAAGAUGCGAAGAAUCCGCCUAAUCUCGGAUGAUACCACAAUGCCCGCAGUAUGCUGAUCACCACCAACAGCAGAUGGAGUCGGAUAAAAAGAGCUUUCUCGCUAGUGUGUUGUUUUAAAAGAACCUGAUGGAGAGCUAUGAUCAUAUGCAACAUUGCCUCUAGUUAGUUUUUAAAUAACACUUGUAGCAUAUGUCUGGCGCCUGUGCUCAGGAUUUCAACAGAUCAUUUUCAGGAUUUUGACAUUUAACUGGCUUCUUAUGAAGUAGCAGAGUUCCAAAAUGUAGAAUUGAAAUAUAAGCUCCACACACAGGCAGAGAUUUGAGUCUGAUUUGUUUGUGUGUAUAUCCCAAGUGCCUAAAAGCACUUGGCAUACGGUAGAUGCACAAUAGAUUCCUGUUAAAUGUAUUUUUGGGUGAAAAUGUAGUCUGUACUUUGCAUAAACUUGUCCUACUUUCUUCCUAGUUCUUUAAUAAGUAACCUACUUUUCAUUAUAUAUUUUUAAAUGAAAAAAAUUAUAUCUGGCAUCACUACUUUGGCUGGGCUAUAAAGAAACAGGAAUUUGGCAGUAUGUAUUAAAAUUACAAAUGCAUAUAUACUCGGAGCCUUGAAUUUCAUUUCUAGGGAUUUAUGCCACAGAUGUUUCCACACAUAAGAAAUAAGGUGUUUCUUAUUGUUGAGAAUAGCAAAAGAUUGGAAACAAGCUAAGUAUCCAUCAACAGGAUACUAGUUAAAUUAUGAUAGAGCCAUAUGUUUGAACAUUGUGCAGCUGUUAAUCAAAAAAAUCAGAAAGUUCUUUGUUUUAACUUUAAGAUCUCCAAGAUUUUUUUGUUAAGUGAAAAACACGGAAAUAUGGUACAGAAUAUUGUAUUAAAUUGUAUAUGCGUUAAACUAGGACAAAGUAACUUGAGGCAUGAGAACACAGUAGAUGGAUAGCAUAAGAAAUAGACUUCAUUGUAUUCGUAUUUAAACUUUUUGAUAUUCAAAAUUUCAGAAUGUUUUAUCUAUUCAAAUAGUGAAAAUGUUUAAAAUUUUUCUGGCAUCUUGUUGUUGUUAUUGUUGUUAAAACAUUCGGGCUUCAUCUGUUUUAUAAAAGUUUACCUGAGUAAAAUAAACAUAUCAAGGAGGCUGGGUGCAGUGGCUCAUGCCUGUAAUCCCAACACUUUGGGAGGCUGAGGCAGGCAGAUUGCUUGAGCUCAGGAAUUCAAGACCAACCUGGGCAACAUGGCAAGACCCUGUCUCUACCGAAAAUACAAAAAAAAAUAAUAAUAACUGGGCGUGGUGGUGUGCGCCAAUGGUCUCAGCUACUCCAGGGGCUGAAGUGGGAGGAUCACUUGAACCCAGGAGGUGGAGGUUGCAGUUAGCCAAGAUUGUGACACUGCACUCCAGCCUGAGUAACAGAGUGAGACCAUGUCUCAAGUAAAUAAAUAAAUAAAUAAAAUCAGGUAAACUAGUACUCAUAGACAAACUUUUGAAAACCUCAGAGUUUUUGUUCAGAUUGAAUAAUGUCUGUUUCUUACCAUAAUAAUUUAAAAUCCAGGUACAUUUAUUUUGAGGCUUAGUAUACAUUUUAUCAAAUGUAUAUAAAUUUUCAGAAGUACUCUAUUUUUCUUCAAGUUUAGUAGAGCCUUCCUUGAACAAGUUUUAACAAACUGGAUCCUCCAUUUUAAACAAUAAAAUUAGAAUUUCAUGGAUCAUUUGCUAAUUAAGGUCAACAAAAUAUAUUUUGGGAAAAACGCUAAAGG